rnacentral:rRNA from 1 species
GUCCUUUUGAUUUUAUAGAAGGUCUGACCUGCCCAGUGAUUUAUUUUAACGGCCGCGGUAUAUUGACCGUGCAAAGGUAGCAUAAUCAUUAGUCUUUUAAAAGAGGGCUGGAAUGAAAGGUUUGACGAGGUAUUAACUGUCUCAUUUUAUUUGUAUUUAGAAUUUAACUUUUUAGUCAAAAGGCUUAAAUUUAAUUGGAAGACGAGAAGACCCUAUAGAGCUUUAUAUUAAUUAUUUUAGUUAUGAAUAUAUAAUUUUUAAUUAAAUAUAUUAUUAUUUUGUUGGGGUGACAGAAAAAUAAAACUAACUUUUUUAUUUAUUUUACAUUAAUUUAUGGUUAUCUGAUCCAUUAUUAUUGAUUAUUAGAUUAAGUUACCUUAGGGAUAACAGCGUAAUCCCCUCCCAGAGUUCAUAUUUACGAGUGGGGCUUGCGACCUCGAUGUUGGAUUAAGAUAAUAAUUAGGUGUAGCCGCUUAAUUUAUAGGUCUGUUCGACCUUUAAAUUCUU